rnacentral:lncRNA from 1 species
AACGCUCCACGUUUUUUUGCCAUUUUAAUUUCUGAUUUCAUUUUUCUUUUUAUUUCUUUAAUUCCAUUUUAUUUCCAAAAAUCAUAUCUCCUUCAUUAUUGGUCCAAAAAAUGUGAGACCAAUUGCAAUUUUCUUCUUUUAAUUUCUAGUUUCUAAAAAUGAUUUUUAAUAUUUUUUAUUUUAUCAUUUGAUAUUUUUUAUGAAUUUUCUCUUUUCUGUUUAUUUUUAAUUCAUUUUAAAUAGUUUUUGAUAUUCAAAAAAUACAAAAAUAUUUUCCCAACCUCUUUGAAUGAUGAUGGAUCUAUGAAAAAUAUUCUCAUC